UCGCUCGGCGCUGACUAGCCGGCCAGGGCGCUGCGGUACCCCGAGCUCUCGUUACCAUCAUUUUGGGUACCGGGCAGCUCCAUGUCACCACGUGCAGUUCGUGUGUCCGGUUCCACGGCUACGUGUUACGAUACCGUGCGGCGUGAGUUUGUUCAGAUAACAAAUCGCCGGAUACGUCGUUUUCUGCGCAGGUACUGCUGUCAAUGGACUCUUUCUCUAUCAACCACAUCGAGUCGAAGAGCGAACGUCGAUCAUCACAACGAUAUUCAACCGUCGCUGAUGUCCUUUCAUCGUUGAUUCAUCGCUGUAUAAGUGUGAAGAUGAACUCCAUGCUACGAGCCACAGAGCGAGCGGAACGGGCAAGUUACGGAAAUUAAAUAAAGCUCCAAGGUAAUAUAAUAAAAAUGUAGGUAUUAUAUAAACAUGCAGUUUAUAAAACUUCAAGACAAAGCAA
rnacentral:lncRNA from 1 species